rnacentral:rRNA from 1 species
UACGUAGGGGGCAAGCGUUGUCCGGAAUCAUUGGGCGUAAAGAGCGUGUAGGCGGCCCGGUAAGUCCGCUGUGAAAGUCCAGGGCUCAACCCUGGGAUGCCGGUGGAUACUGUCGGGCUCGAGUCCGGAAGAGGAGUGUGGAAUUCCUGGUGUAGUGGUGAAAUGCGCAGAUAUCAGGAGGAACACCGAUGGCGAAGGCAGGUCUCUGGGCAUUAACUGACGCUGAGGAGCGAAAGCAUGGGGAGCGAACAGGA